GAUGAACGCUGGCGGCGUGCCUAAUACAUGCAAGUCGAGCGAACGGACGAGAAGCUUGCUUCUCUGAUGUUAGCGGCGGACGGGUGAGUAACACGUGGAUAACCUACCUAUAAGACUGGGAUAACUUCGGGAAACCGGAGCUAAUACCGGAUAAUAUUUUGAACCGCAUGGUUCAAAAGUGAAAGGCGGUCUUGCUGUCACUUAUAGAUGGAUCCGCGCUGCAUUAGCUAGUUGGUAAGGUAACGGCUUACCAAGGCAACGAUGCAUAGCCGACCUGAGAGGGGGAUGGGCCACACUGGAACUGAGCCACGGCCCAGACUCCUACGGGAGGCACCAGUAGGUACUCUUCCGCAAUGGGCGAAAGCCUGACGGAGCAACGCCGCGUGAGUGAUGAAGGUCUUCGGAUCGUAUAACUCUGUUAUUAGUGAAGAACAUAUGUGUAAGUAACUGUGCACAUCUUGACGUUACCUAAUCAGAAAGCCACGGCUAACUACGUG
rnacentral:rRNA from 1 species